rnacentral:rRNA from 1 species
UGAGGAAUAUUGGACAAUGGGCGCAAGCCUGAUCCAGCCAUGCCGCGUGCAGGAUGACGGUCCUAUGGAUUGUAAACUGCUUUUGUACAGGAAGAAACAGUUCUACGUGUAGAACCUUGACGGUACUGUAAGAAUAAGGAUCGGCUAACUCCGUGCCAGCAGCCGCGGUAAUACGGAGGAUCCAAGCGUUAUCCGGAAUCAUUGGGUUUAAAGGGUCCGUAGGCGGCUAGAUAAGUCAGUGGUGAAAGCCCAUCGCUCAACGGUGGAACGGCCAUUGAUACUGUCUGACUUGAAUUAUUAGGAAGUAACUAGAAUAUGUAGUGUAGCGGUGAAAUGCUUAGAGAUUACAUGGAAUACCAAUUGCGAAGGCAGGUUACUACUAAUGGAUUGACGCUGAUGGACGAAAGCGUGGGUAGCGAACAGGAUUAGAUACCCACGUAGUCCCUGAGCGGGCUGGCAAGGCGCAU